rnacentral:lncRNA from 1 species
GUGGUAGAGGAAGAGUUUUUCAUAGCUUGUUUAUGCAUAAAACUGUCUAUGAAUAGAACUGUUUUAUUUGUGCUAUGUUUCCAAAAAUGCAUUUUUAAUGUUCUUCGUAGUUAAACACUGUAAAGAUUACAUCAUAUGUGUUUGACAUCUCACUGCAAAUUAUUUAAUAAAUUAUCAUGAACAUAAUUAUUGUUUUACUUGAUGUAUUUUUGAGUAAAUUAAAGUUCACUACAGAGCCCAACCCCAUACAUGUUUCUCCCAUGUGGUGUCAUAGCUGGAGUUUCUGGAGACAAUGGUGAAACAGGCUGACUGUCAGCAGCAGGAAAGCCAGAACACUGUUAAGGAUGAUUGCAUGGCCAUUGCCAAGGCCCAGGAGUGUCUGCUCCAGCAGAAAACUGAGGAGUGUGCACAGAUAAGUGAGAUCCUGGAGCACGCUGAAGGAGAGGUGCUCUUAGGGAGAGAGAAGACCAUUGAGCUGGAGAAACUCAACGCUGAGUUGGACCACAAGAACACACAGGUGCUUGCUGAGCUGCAGGAGGCCUUGGCCAGAGUGUCCAAGCUUGAACAGAGCCGUGAAGCUCAGACCGCCGAAUACCAGCAGGCUUUGGCCAGAGAGUCCGAACUCAAGAAGAACCAGGAGUCUUGGGCCGCUGAGUUGAAGGAGGCCUUAGCAAGAGUAUCUGAGCUGAAACGGGACUGUGAGGCUCAGGGCGUCGAGUACCAGCAGGCUUUGACCAGAGAGUCCGAACUCAAGAAGAACCAGGAGAGAGACCUGGAUGCGGCAUCCUGCCGCCUGUCUAUGGCUCACAAGGAGAUCCGGAUGAGGAUGACGGAUGAGCUGGAGUCAGCGCACAUGACCCAGAGAGCCUGCGAGCCAGACCUGCACUCAUCCCAACAGGAAGUUGAAUUUCUCAGGCGGGAAGUGGAAAAGCUCACUGAUAUGCCUGAGCUCCGCAAGGCCAAAGAGCUAAAUGAGUGCCAGGACAAGGAGAUCAAGAUGCUGAGAGACACGGUGCGCAGCAUGGACAACGAGCGUAUGGCUCUCCUUGCCAUGGUAGGUUCACAGUAUAGAAAGCUUAGGCUCUAUGAUCUCUUAAGGACUUGAAGAGUGUCCACCCCUUCAUACUAGAAUAUAUUAAUCACUCUCCAUUCAUAAAAGACACAUAACAGCAGGUUUAUGGUGGCACUUUGUGUUUUGUUUUAGCUUGAUUGUAAGAUGAUGGAGGUCAGUGACAAUGAGGAUGAAGAGUACCCUCUGAUAUCACUGCCUAAAGUGGAAAAGGUAACAUGAAUGCAUAUGUAUAGCAAAUACAUGGGAAUAGCAGUAGUAUGACCCUAAAGCCAUUUGUUGAGACUCUAGUGUGUUGUGCUGGAGACACAUCUGUGUCUGUAUUGUUUCAGGCUGAGAUUGCCAUCCAGACUGUAGCUGAUGAUGUGGACAGUUCUCAUGUGAGGUACUGUACCAGACAAUCAACUGCAUCUCAGUACAGCUUGCACAUUUAUGUAUUAUGCAGCAUACAAUGUAUACAAGUGUUUUAUUAAAGAGUGUAACAGAGUGACUAACUGUAUAUGUAUGGAAAUAUGGAAGAGUUUGCUCUUUGGAAGGAAAAAUAGCUUUGCAGUAAUCACUACUUAAAUGGAAAGCUCCAGGGAAGUUUAAGAUUCGGCUAACAAAGAUAAAAUAUAAAAGAUUUAUUAUACAUAUUUUACAUUAGAGAAACACCUGACAAUUAACUUGAAUUUAUCAACAAAAAAAAAGAUUUAUUGACAACAUGCUUGACUAACAUUUAAUCUGAAAGUUUAAUUUGUGAUGUUUUUACCUGAUGUUUUUUCCCAGGUGCCUUGAAGACCUGAACGAGAAGGAUCUUGAGCUGCCUAAGCUGCAGGCAUGUAUCCAGCAGUUGCAGCAGGAGUGCGAUCAGAUGCAAAUGCAGAAAGACCAGGCGAAGGGGCUUCUAGAAGAGCAGGAGCUAAACCACACGACCACCGUGGAGGCCCUGAAGAAGGAGGUGAGUCUGGAGGAAUUCUUGUACUGACAGUUAUUUGCCACUAGAGGGCGAUGAGCGCCACUGUAUGCAAAAGCAACAUAUACAAUACUUCCUCUG